rnacentral:lncRNA from 1 species
AACCCUUAGGGUAUUAUUUGCAAAUUUUGAAUAUUUAAAGCAUUUUUAUAUGGAAAAUAUCUCAUCAAAUAUAUUCAACAAACAAGUACAUCAUUUUGAUCAUUACAAAGAGAAAAGGAAAAUAAACAUCCUAUGGAUCCCUAGAAGCUCGGGAUGCUGGAAGACGAGAUGCACAAAGCUUCUUGAUCUCUCUCUCAUAGGCUGCUUCCAUAUCCGCUUUCUCCUUUGCAAGUCGAUCAUACUUCCUCUUCCAGAACUUGGAAGACUGAGGAAGCAGAGAAGUC